UCAAUCAUCAAGCCUGGCUUGUUAUUGGACUUUGCGGCUGAAAUAUGUUGCAGGUUCGAAAAAUAAUGACGGUGUCAUGUUUGACCCUAGAUGCAACGAGCUUUUAAUAGCACGCAUUGAAGUGGUCGACUGACCUGGUCUUUAACCAUCAUUUUUCUAA
rnacentral:misc_RNA from 1 species